AUGUCUCAAUACUCAUAUCUCACUUUUGUCAACUUCAACAAGGAGAAACCUCAUCUUAAAUUUAGUAAACAUACUUCGUUGUCAGAAAGAGAAGCAGUAAAAGGUCAUUUUAAAUACGGAACACUGACACACACACAAACGACGCAUCUCUUUCUCUCUCUCUCUCUAUCGCCUUUGGUUUCUCUCUCCUCCUUCAUCCCAAUUCUCCUAGGGAUUCAUGAUCGGUGCGAUUCGAAGCUUGUAGAUCCGUCUCAAGGUUUCGUUUCCUGGAUUUUUUUUGAACAAAAGUUUUUUCGAAAUUUUUUUUCGUGGCCAGAAGGAAUCUGA